UUAGACAUCAUAUCUGAAGCACUGUAAAAUAUAUUGAAAUAUAUUUUGAAAACACUGGAUGGGCGCGCGCUGAACUGGAGCGGAGGAGGUCACCAUGGAAACGGGGCGGCAGCUCAACUGUCAAGCACCUGAACGCUGUCUCUCAUGGUUGUUUUCACUCAUUUCAGAAAUGGCUUAUUGUCUUCAGAAAAAGUCCGUUAGCAUCUCAACCUUAAUGCUAACUACAAGAGAGACUGAAAAUCAUCGAUAAACCACAAGAGUUUAGCUCCAACCCCAAUUACGCAGACCUGAGCAGCUGAUCAAAGAUCACCAGAAACUCUGCAGAACGUUGGUCCUCCAGCCCAGGACUGGACACCAGUGUUGUAAGUCAUCAAUCUAGAAGUAAUCCUGCCUCUUUGAAUGGUCAUGUUCAGAACAUAUUGCAGGAGAUCUCAACAUUGU